CACGGGGGUUGCAAGCGUUGUCCGGAAUUACUAGGCGUAAAGGGCAGGUAGGCGGAACUAUAAGUUUGAUGUUAAAGGCAGCGGCUCACCCGCUGUAAGGCAUCAGAUACUGUAGAUCUGGAAUACGGUUGAGGAAGACAGAAUUCCUGGUGUAGCGGUGGAAUGCGCAGAGAUCAGGAGGAAUACCAAAGGCGAAGGCAGUCUUCUAAGCCGGUUAUUGACGCUAAACUGCGAAGGUGUGGGUAUCAAACAGG
rnacentral:rRNA from 1 species